rnacentral:lncRNA from 1 species
UUGUGCUAUCGAGUUUUUUGAUGGGGAUGCAGGCUUUGAUGUUACUUGCCAUUGUUUUACUAGUUUUUGCUGGAAUUGCGAUGAUGAAAGUCACCGUCCUGUGGAUUGUGAGACUGUGAAGAAGUGGAUUUCCAAGAACCAGUCAGAAUCUGAAAACGUUAAUUACAUACUAACUUACUGCAAGCCUUGUCCUAACUGCAGAAGACCAAUUGAAAAGAACCAGGGUUGUAUGCACAUGACUUGCAGGGUCUGUAUGUAUAGCUUUUGCUGGUUAUGUCUUGCUCCAUAUGAAAAUCAUGGACAAUGUAAUGGAUAUCUGGAUAAUGCAGUGAGGAAAAAAGAGAUGGCAAAGCAAUCUUUAGAGAAAUAUACACAUUAUUUUGAACGAUGGGAUGCCAAUCGAAAGUCAAAACUAAAAGCACUUGCAGAUUUUCAACAUAUAAAGGAUGUGAAAUUUAAAAGGCUUAGUGAGAUACAAGGCAUACCUGAAGACAAUAUGGAUUUCAUAACGAAGGCAUGGCUGCAGGUGGUUGAAUGUAGGAGAGUGCUGGAAUGGAGUUAUGCAUAUGGAUACUACCUGCCAGAAAAUGAGCUUGCUAAGAAACAGUUUUUUGAGUACUUGCAAGGGGAGGCAGAGUCUAGACUGGAAAAGCUUCAUGAUUGUGCAGAAAAAGAGCUGGAACAGUUUCUUGAUUCUGAUGGCCUAUCAAAGGAUUUCAUUAAAUUCCGGACAAUGCUACUUACUCUUACCGUUGUUACUGGAGACUACUUUGAGAAGCUGGUAAGAGUAUUGGAGAAUGGCCUAUCUGAUGUGGUAUCUCACGGGGCUAGCAGCUCGCCAG